UUUCUUUUUUAAAUGGUAUGGCUAAAAAAUCGCCAUGACAUCAAUAACAUGUAAGUUAUGCGUGGUUGCAUGAGAUCGGACCAACAUCACGAGCUAAGAUGUGCGCCAACACAUUGGUAUGUUAUUAUGGCAAAAAUAAGAAUAUGUGCAAGUUCCAAAUGUUAAAAUUGAAGUUAUAAGCCUAAUAAUAUAAAUAUAAAGUUUUGUUUAGAUGAAUUUGAUUCAAAAGAAUAUACAAAUAUUAUUUUUAUGUUCUAAAGUCGGCCACACGAGCGAGCGAAAUCGUGACUACUCCCUCCCAGUUUUUUUUAGUUGGUCCUCCCAGUUUUCCCCACCUCUCCAGAUCGUGCGGUCGACCCUCCUCGUUUCCCUCGUCCCUCCCAAACCGCUGCCUGGCGCCUGCACGUUUUCCUGUUCCAUCCGCUAUUUCUCACCUCCCUCGCCUCUGUCCAAGGAUCUCCCGGCCAUUGCCGCACCUAACCAAAGCCGGCGCUUAACUAGCCCACCUCUCCCUGAAAGUGUGGUCGGAGCUGGCGCAGGCCUACCGUAGACCCGGCGGCCUUGAGCUCCACCGUCACCAACAGCGGCGACAACCGUACGGAGGCCAGACGGGAUCUGGUGGCCUCAGAAUAGUGAGAACCAGCAGCAGUCUUCGGCCAACAGAUCCGGUGGAAGCUCAUCUUGGGGCGGCAGCAGAGAUAGCCACGCUGAUUCGGUUGCACGAACUAUUUGCAGCUCACACGGGAGCCGACCUCGAGUUUGACUAGAGCCAGAGGUGUUGGACUGCGCAAGGUCCGCACCCCCGCAUCAACAACCUGGACAUCCGUCUCCGGCGUCAUCGGUGAGCUGCAGCCGGACGACCAGAAUUCUGUCUUCCUCUAUAAUGUGCUAGAUGAUGUCAAAUGCACGACUGCCAAUGGUGGCCUCAUCGGUGGUGCCAUCUUGUGAGAGGGAAGCAACAUUGGAGGCAGUCCGAACCGUGAGAAUGAUCACGAUGCUAAUGAGAACAUGGAUGAUAUCUACGGCACGAGGAGAUGAUACAUAUAGCGAUAAAUGUUUUGACCCAUAUAGUGAUGAGCAUUAUGAUCACUAUAGAGAUGAUGGUGACGAGUCGAAUGAGCUGCAUAGUCGUACAACAAAGUGAAGUUCCGAAAUUUACGACAAUUUAGGUUAUGCAAACUGUUCGGACCAUUGUAUGGAGUAUUUUGUUUGGCAUUAUGAUCUAUGUAUUCUGGAUGAAAGAUAUUAGGCUUUUGAUGUUAUAUGUGUAUGCACUUGGUCGCAAGUCUUGGUAAAUAUAAUACAUGUUAUUUGGUCAUGUGUGCUUGUGUAUGUAUUUGAAAUGCCAACAAUUAAAAAUAUUCUCAUGCUGAAUCACACUUUUAUGUUAUGCAACACCACUUGGUGAAAGCAAUUCGUGAGAGGUUAAUAAUAGCCGAUGAUCGGGAUUUAGAUUGUCGAUGAUUUCCUAAUUUGACGAUG